AUAUUAUUAAGGGGAGGAAAAGAAACUAACAAGGAUUCCCCUAGUAACGGCGAGUGAAGCGGGAAGAGCUCAAAUUUAAAAUCUGGCGCCUCCGGCGUCCGAGUUGUAGUCUAGAGGGGCGUCUUCCGCGCCGGACCGUGCACAAGUCCCUUGGAACAGGGCGUCGUAGAGGGUGAGAAUCCCGUCCACGGCACGGACUCCCGGUGCUCUGUGAUGCGCCUUCAAAGAGUCGAGUUGUUUGGGAAUGCAGCUCAAAAUGGGUGGUAAAUUCCAUCUAAAGCUAAAUACAGGCGAGAGACCGAUAGCGCACAAGUA
rnacentral:rRNA from 1 species